ACGCCUCUGGUGUAACGGCAGCAUUACCGGUUCCAACCCGGUGGAUCAGGGUUCAAAUCCUUGGGGGCGUGC
rnacentral:tRNA from 1 species